AGAAAAUUGAUAGAAAGUCUCAAACAUUUAUCUACCAUUGUCAAACCCCACCUCAUUUUUGCUUCCACAAGCACAAGAAAUUUAUCCCACUCUGCACAAAUUUUUAGGAAAAAGAAGAUAACUUUCUUGAGCUCAAUUCUCUCCACUUGUAAGUAUAUCUGUGGUUUCUUUCUUGAUGUUGUUUUCUAUAUUUAAUGGGUUUUGUGGGUUUUAUUGCAAUAUUUAGAGGAGUUUUUGGGUGUGUAAAGAUUCCAACUUUGUUUGGAUCUCUCCAUUUCCAGAGGCCCUUUUCCUUGUUUUUAGGUUUUAGUUUAGUAUUUCUUGCUGUUUCAGUUGAUGAUGGUUAGUUAAUUAUAGCUUGAUACUUAUUUUGAUUGUACUGUGUUUUUAUGAUAUUGAUUCUGAUUUGUCUGAUUUAUAAGAUGGAUUGUUUGUUAGUUGUUACAAUUUGCAUCUGUGUGGGUAGAAAAAUUCAUUCUGAUUUCCUUUCCAACUAAGCUUAGUCUCUCUCUCUCUCUCCUCAAAUUCAUGGGCAAAAUCUUUUACUUUUUAGCUUUUUUCUUGGCUCUUUGUCUAUGAAGUCUAGAAUAUUGCUUGGUGAUUGGGUCUUCUGACUUGAAUUUCACACACACACACACACACAGAUGCUGUUGGAGGUGGGGUAGGGGUG
rnacentral:lncRNA from 1 species